rnacentral:rRNA from 1 species
CGUGUAGGCGGGUCUUUAAGUCAGGGGUGAAAUGCCAAGGCUCAACCUUGGAACUGCCUUUGAUACCGGAGAUCUUGAGUCCGGGAGAGGUGAGUGGAACUGCGAGUGUAGAGGUGAAAUUCGUAGAUAUUCGCAAGAACACCAGUGGCGAAGGCGGCUCACUGGCCCGGAACUGACGCUGAGACGCGAAAGCGUGGGGAGCAAACAGGAUUAGAUACCCUGGUAGUCCACGCUGUAAACGAUGGAUGCUAGCCGUUGGGGAGCUUGCUCUUCAGUGGCGCAGCUAACGCUUUAAGCAUCCCGCCUGGGGAGUACGGUCGCAAGAUUAAA